AAAAUUUGAAUUGAGCACUAGAAGACAGAUUAACAGCCAGAACUGCCUCCAAACUAUUUUUAACGGUCAAAAACUGCUUAACACUCAUCGGAGCUGAUUUCUCAAGUAUAAAAGGGACUUCCAACGACUAGAAAAUGGAUCAAAGGCUUCUAAGAACAAAAAGAGCUAAAAAACCAGCAAAAACUCUCUGCAUUCUUACUGCACUUCACUCUUAUCUUUGUAUUUGACAUAAGUACUUCACUUUGUACCACUUAGAUCAAGUCAGUCAUCAUAGGUAUUGCAACGACCUCUCCCCGAUCGCUGCUGGAGUUCAAGACUUCCGAAAAAGACCCGUCAAGUCUUGAACAAGCCUGUCUAGAAUUUGCUCGUUAAUCCACUACAUUCAAUCACCAUGUAAUGUUGAUACUUUCAUACACUAAAUUGAACCAUAAAUAUAAAAUUCAAUACAAACUUUUUUCCUUUUAUUCAUAAGUAUAUGCAUUAAAAUCUAUUAUCUCCAUAUUAAUGCUUAUAUAAAAUUUUAGAAUUCGUUUACAACUUAAUAAAUAAAAUGUUAUGACUUGACCUCUAACAGCGAAAUGACUUGAGAUAAAAUACCAGGAGAUGCCAUUACCUAUUCACGGUGGUCCGAACGCGUCACUGACUACACGCUAGGCUGAUCCCUAUCU
rnacentral:lncRNA from 1 species